AAGAUAUUUGGUUGCAUAAUAUUCCUUUAUGGCUCAACAUUUUUUUUUAUCUUAAUUGAAUUAUCUUAACUCAGGAAACACAAGAAAACAAACUAUAUUUAAAUCUUUAAAUAACAUGAACAGUUGGAUACAAAUUUGAUAUGAAAUGUGUACUUCUCCUUCCUUAGAGAAGAAAACACAAAAAGAACAAAAGGUUUCCAAAGUUACUUUUUAAUUCUGUCCUUAGAAUUGU